GGAUGUGAGGGCAAUCUGGCUGCGACAUCUGUCUCCCCAUUGAUUGCCAGGGUUGAUUCGGCUGAUCUGGCUGGCUAGGCGGUGUCCCCUUCCUCCCGCACCACUCCAUGUGCGUCCCUCCCAAAGCUGCGCGCUCAGUUGAAGAGGACGACCUUCCCCAAAUAGAGGAGGACCGGUCUUCGGUCAAGGGUAUACAAGUAGCUGUGCUCCCAUGCUAGAACCUCCAAACAGGCUCUCAAAGAACCUCUAAAUUAGAAAACCAAAGGUAUCACUAAUACCUAUCCCCCUGUGCUCCCCACUUAAUGGAAAAUCCAGAUAUGGUAUUAAGU
rfam:Mesocricetus auratus contig169902, whole genome shotgun sequence.